rnacentral:rRNA from 1 species
UGGAGGGUGAGAACCCCGUAUGUGGCUCGAAAGAAGGGUCCUUGUGUCGUAUCCUCCAAGAGUCGGGUUGUUUGGGAAUGCAGCUCAAAAUGGGUGGUAAAUUUCAUCUAAAGCUAAAUACUGGCGAGAGACCGAUAGCGAACAAGUAGAGUGAUCUAAAGAUGAAAAGUACUUUGAAAAGAGAGUGAAACAGUACGUGAAAUUGUUGAAAGGGAAGCGCUUGGUAUCAGCCCGUGGCGUCGGUCCAUCAUCCAGGUCAAGACCUGGUGCACUGGGCCGAGGUCGGGUCAGCGUGGGGGGGGGGCCCGUCGGCCAAAGGUCAGGGGAAUGUGGCUCUCUUUGGGAGCGUUAUAACCCCUGGCGGCAUGCGAUGCGGUGAGGUCGAGGUCUGCGGUUUAUCCAAGGACGCUGGCUUAAUGGUUCCAAGCGACCCGUCUUGAAACACGGACCAAGGAGUCUAACAUCUAUGCGAGUGUUUGGGUGUCAAGCCCGUUCGCGCAAUGAAAGUGAAUGCAGGCGGGAGCCGUUAGAUGGCGCACC